rnacentral:rRNA from 1 species
AUGGACCGGUUUCAGGACGGCGAGCACGUGCGGCUGCGGAGCCGCGUGCACGGCACGUACCUGCACGCCGACGAGGAUGGCCAUGGCGUCUCCCUCCCCAGGCGCGGCGCGUCGAUGAACGCGGUAUGGUCCGUGCACAUCUACCAUCGCGACGGCCCGCAGCUGCUCCUCUACAGCGCCGCCUACGGCAGCUACCUCGCCGCCACGGACGCGCGGGCGCCGCCCGGCCACCGCGGCUUCCGCGCUGUGCAGUGCGACUACGACCGUCGGCACAUGGAGGCCAUCAAGUGGCAUGCCGUUUGGGCCGACUCUGAGAACUACGUCGUGCUCCGCGACGUCGCCGGCCGCUGCCUCCGCGCCAACAAGUGGUACCUCAGCCGGAACAAUGGCGUCAGCGUCGACGGCAUCGACGACAUCAACAACGUCAGCACGAUGAUGCACUUGCACUGGUUCGUGGAGCUCAUCCCCGCCAGGGAUGGCUUGCCUCCGCUUCCACGUCCGAUUUGGCAUCCCUUCCCCGGAACCGGAAUAGUCACCGCCGUGUUGCCGUCGCGGAUGAUCUUGUACGUGCGGGAGGGCGCCGACGGGAGCCGCAUCACCCGUGGCUCGUUCAAGUUCAGGGGGCGAUCCGUGUUCCGCCUGAGGAAGAAGCUGGUCCGCCGGCUGCGUGCCAUCAUGGACGUCUCCAAGCUCGUCGUGUGCGUCGAAGCGGGUGCUUUCGGGCGGCUUACCCCACUCGUCGUCGACCUGCCCCGCAGCCGCCACAACCUCCACAUCGUCGUCAUCGAGGCCGGGACGCCAGCUAAUCUGCUUCAGUUAGAACUGUUGUAG